CAGCCGCCGCGGGAAUACGUAGGUCCCGAGCGUUGUCCGGAUUUAUUGGGCGUAAAGGGCUCGCAGGCGGUUUCUUAAGUCUGAUGUGAAAGCCCCCGGCUCAACCGGGGAGGGUCAUUGGAAACUGGGAAACUUGAGUGCAGAAGAGGAGAGUGGAAUUCCACGUGUAGCGGUGAAAUGCGUAGAGAUGUGGAGGAACACCAGUGGCGAAGGCGACUCUCUGGUCUGUAACUGACGCUGAGGAGCGAAAGCGUGGGGAGCGAACAGGAUUAGAUACCCGGGUAGUCCCUGUCUCUUAUAC
rnacentral:rRNA from 1 species